CCUAAAUCAAAUAGUAGUAGCUUUUAAAAAAAUUACUAAACUUAAUCAACACUAUUUGGAAAGGGGGCUAGAGUCAGAUAUUAUGAUCAGUUGAUGGCUAGCUCAAGGAAUUUUUAGAAAUCCCCUUCCCUACCUCCCCAGAAUGUACCCUACAGCCAAAGUCUCAGCAGCCUACAGGGAAGGAGGCUGAGGAGCACCCUACAUCAGCUCCCCUCACCCAUUCCCUGCUGCCUCCAACCCCUUUAUGGGUGGUUUCCCAUUUCAUCUUUGAUUUAGGGGUGAGACUGCACUGCACAAGGCUGCCUGCCAGCGGAACCGGGCUGUGUGCCAGCUUCUGGUGGAUGCAGGAGCAUCUCUGAGAAAGACGGACUCCAAGGGUAAGACACCUCAAGAAAGAGCACAGCAGGCUGGGGACCCAGACUUGGCUGCUUACCUAGAAAGCCGUCAGAACUAUAAGGUCAUUGGCCAUGAGGACCUGGAAACUGCUGUUUGACCCUGGUAUUCGGGCAAAGAGGACAUGAGCAAGCGUAUCACAUCUGCCCUCCCUGCAAUUGGGCAGCUCCCCUGGAAGAAGCUGAUGGAAUUCAUAUAUCUGUCUCUCUCCUGCAAGAAUCUACCUGAGACCAUG
rnacentral:lncRNA from 1 species